rnacentral:lncRNA from 1 species
AACGGAUAAAUGUAGGUAUGGUUAAAAACUUGUAAUAUGAAAUAGAGGAAGUACAAAUUAUACAGAAUCCCUAUGAUAUGGAUGUUACCUGUACCAUACAAUAUGAGAAAAACUUAUAAUAUGAAAUAGAGAGAAAACUUAUAAUAUGAAAUAGGGAGAGUUUACUCUCCUCUUUUGCAUCUUCGCCAUCUCCUGAUGAGAAGCGUAUCUGACGAGAAGCUUGUUCAGAAAUUCAGCAGUGGAAAUAUAGUAGUAGAAAGGGACAUGAAGACCUCAGGAAUUCGAAUGCUUUCAUGCAACAGAUCAAUAAAACCAAACCUAGAACAUGCAAGGGAAAGUAAAUAUAAGAUCUCUGUUAUUGGUGCCAACUGCGUAUGAUCAUAGCAUUGAAGAUUGAUGCCAAAAUCAGAUAACUCUGUUGCCAAAACAACGCAGUACAGGAAGGUCGGCGCUUUCAAUAAGGAUAACUACAUCAAACUUGAAUUCAACAUCAAUGAGGCCCCACUAUGGUGCAUAGAUGCAAAACACCAAAUAGUUAUGUGAAUCAAGUGUGGUAGGGAAGGCCAAGGCAACAAUGCUGAGUGUAAAUCUACUUUGACGUGCUGAACAUGCAAAAUAUCUCAAUGGAUUGGUCUGUGCAUCAGAUGAACUAUGAGCAAACAAAACAUGCCUAUUGAAAACAUGAAGCGCGCCAACUUUUAUAGAUUCAGGAACAAGGGGAUACCUACAGAGCAAUUGAAACGAUUUUCUAUCUGCGUAACAGUUUAA